AAUUUACAUUGAAAGAGUAUUGAGACCUUAAUAUUUUAAUUUUGAAAUUUGCAUAAAAAGAAUACCACAUCAAAAAUUUGAGAUUAAUGGUUUAAAUUUUUUGUUACAUUAAAUAUACAAAUGUUUACAAAACCAUAUUAGUAAGAAGUCUCAAUAAUAAAUAUUUAUAUUAAAAUUUUAUUAUAUAAAAGAGUGUUUUACUCACUCCUAAAACUGCGAUAUGUGAUUUCACAUAGGAAAGUCGCGCGUCUAGGAGCUGAUUAAACGCUCUGUUUCAUUUAUUUUUUCCUCGGAAUAUUUUGGGCUUAGCUUCAUAGUGUGUUUUGCUUUAUCAAGCCCAUACUGAUAUAAAGCAUAAUAUGAUUAUGAUGUGUUCAAAACGCGGCGUUUUUUAUUUUAUCGUUUCACACUCUCUCUUCUCCACCGUAGGCAAUUCUAAGGUUUUCAUCGAUUCACUGAUCCAGCAAUCAAUCGGCGCCGUAGCGAAUCGAGCGAUUUAUUCAUCUUCUUCCUACUGAUCCAAUCCAGAAAUCAAUCGGUUAAGGAUUCAUUACUAUUAAAUUCCAUCUUAAAUCCAUCGUACACGAUCUAUCUUCAAUGCCACUUUUGCUCUUCAAAGGUGGUGGAGAUUCCACUAUAAAAAAGCAAGGAUGAGAAACUACAGGAAUAUCAGUUGACCAGUUACAGACCCUGUGAAAGUUUAAGAUUAUAGCGUUAGUGGCGACGUUUUCCUAAUAAAAAUUUCUUCAUAUCGCCUGGCAUAGGCUGAGAAGCUACACACGACACGAGUAAAGGAUGAGGAGUGCGAGGCAGAUGAGUGGAAGUUCUGUGUUGUUUAGACGUCUUGCUUUAGUUAUACUGAACUUGGCUAAUUGUGACAUGUUUGCUGUUAUAGUUACCCAAAAUCAAAAGUCUACUUUACAGUUCUCCCAAGUUUUAAUCUCAAGGGUUAUGCUUCAAUUGGCUUUAGAGUUGCAUACUCUUUGAUGGUUGGUGGGAGAGAAAUGCUUCAUUGUCUUGUCAUAAAACUACAACUUUGUGGGGGGUUGUUGUCUAAUUUCGGUUGUUAGAUGUUAGUGUUUCACUGUGUCCAAAAGAAAAAAAAAAGAUGUUAGUGUGUCACGAUACUGAUAGCUUAUGGUUAUCGAUGUGCAGAUAAUUCAAAGAAGAUAUCAUUCCUUGAUUCUCUUGAUGUCCCUCCAUAGAAUCAAGCAUAUUGUGAUAAUUCGGAGUUUAUGGUUUUGUUAACAUAUAUUUAAAAACGAAAUGAAAACCCAAGAAAUAUGAUUUUUAGUUUCAUUUCUCUUGCUUUUAGUAAAUAUUGCCUUCUGUUUAUCGAGGUUUGUUUUGCUGGCGAGUGAUGGUCGUAUAACAAAGAGAAGGAAUGCCAUCUUUAGUGGCUGUUUCUCUAGAAGCUGAGAUGACAUGAAAAUAGCUAUUUCUGAGUCCAAGGAAAAAGAAGCCAGAAAGAAAUAGUGGAGCUACCGAAGCAACUCAAAGGCUGAUGAAGCAAAAUCAUUCACUGUCUAAGUGAAACAAAAUCAUCCACUUAAAAGCUACGAAAGUCUCAAGAAGAAGUAGAGCAAGCAAAGGCUAGGGCAAGUACAAUGGAGACCAUUUUAUAUUGGCAGCUCAGGAAUAAACCAAGGCUGGUAAAGGUUCGGACAGGUUGGCAUUAGCCGCCAUCUGCUUAGCUAGCGUGCUCAUGAUGCUGAAGAAGAAGCCAAUACAAGAAUUGCAACAGUUGUUCUGAGGAAUCUAGAGAAAUAGAGAAAGUAAACUUGGAGAGGAAGAAGCAAAAAAAAAACACUUGCAUAAGCAACCGAGAAGGCUAAAGAAGAUGAGUUAGGCCUAGAACAAGAGUUGAGAAAAUGGAAAGAAGAAUAUAAAGUAAAGAAAGAUCAGUGAUAAUGGGGUGAGCAUAGUGAAAAUUUAUGGAGGAAGAAUAGAAGGGUCAAAGGCAAAGAAACUGAGUUUAAUUGAAUUGAACAAACCCAAUCCCACAAGCAAAUCCUAGAAAAAGGUCACAUAAGUGAGUCUGAUGCGAAGAAGUUGAUUAGGUAAGAUCUGUUUUAUAAAUGUAAAAGUCUACAUUAUAAAAGAAGAGUUAAGUCAUCUCGAUUUCUGAUACUUAGUGACCACCAGUAACUUGCUUUAUUAAUGGCAUUUUAUCUCAACAUCUACUGCAAUAGAACUAGACAUGUCAAUUAGGGCCGAAGCCCGUAGCCCGAGCCCGCCCAGCCCUAAAAAUUACCGGGUUUGGGCUUAACUUUAUAAGCCCAAAAAAAAUUAGGCUUUUCGGGCUAAGCCCAUUUGGGCUUUGGGUAUUUUGGGCUUAAGUCCGUUUGGGCUAGGGCCGGCCCGAAAACCCGAAAUUUAUAUUUUAGCGUAAAUAUUAUCCUUCUUUCUUGUAAUCGAAACUAUUAUUAGUAUUGAUAUAUUAUUUUAAUAUUUUUA